rnacentral:lncRNA from 1 species
GCUGGAGGGAAUGUGGAACUGAGAUCUGGCCCUUAGUAUAAUCUUCUCGUCUCUUUCUCUCUCCCUCUCCCUCUCUUUCUGUAUAGAUCUGGCACGGCCUUGCUCUCUCGACUCCCAGAUCUUUGUUUCGGUGGCGGCGGCCAGAAAGAGUAAGAGAGCGCUGUGCUCUCAUUUCCCUCUGUCCCCCCCCCCUUUAAAAGUCUCCUCUUCCAACUUUCCUCCAGUUAUUCCCUCCUCAACCCGACUGACAGCAUUUGCUGAAAAAUCUACAGCUUUGUUUGUCUUAUAUGGUGGAAAUAUGGUCAUUUGCAUUGAGAAGACCUGCCAGAAUAGCAGAACAUCUGGAAAGCUGCCCAAAGUCACCAAUUCAUCAAGCCUGUUCCCCAUCUACCUGAAGCAAAUUCUAAUCAAGCAGAACAUACAAACUGGAAGAAGAAGCAACUCAUGGAGUUCUCUAGCAGCUCUUCUUCCCUACAAACGAUGUUGUGAAUCAUUAACAGACUUCAAAGCAAACAGACUAGACAGGAAGACAUUGGGCAUCAUUCCCUGGUUGAACAAACAUCUGAUCUAUAUUGUUCUCCUCAUGNGUUGAUCACAACAAAAAGAAUUCAAAGAAGUUACCAAACCUAUUACAAU